AAAAAGAAAAAUAUUUAAUACAAUAAGUUCUAUAACGGAAUAAAGUCUUUCGUUUGUUAAAUAAAUAUGAAACUAAUUAAUUUGUUCUUAAUAGUCGCUUGCAUUGCUGCCGGUGCAAUGGCUGCUCCAGGAAAUGCUAAUACUCAAGGCGUUUUUAAUUCUGGAUAUUUUUUCCAAGGAAGUAAAAAGUAAUGUUUAUUUUUAGCAUUGAUGUAGCUGAUAUAUACAAAAGAAAAACAUUUAAUAAAAUUUAAAAACUUCUGAA